rnacentral:tRNA from 3 species
CGGAUGUAGCCAAGUGGA